GACCACCUAGUUUUUUGGGUUAAGGCCAUACGGACAGCCGGGUCGAUUGCCGA
rnacentral:sRNA from 1 species